GUGCACCAGGCUCGAAUCUUCGGCAAUGGGCGCAAGCCUGACCGAGCGACGCCGCGUGGAGGACGAAGGCCUUCGGGUUGUAAACUCCUGUCGAGGGGGAAGAAGGCCGGGGUAACCGGCUUGACUGAUCCCUGGAGGAAGCACGGGCUAAGUUCGUGCCAGCAGCCGCGGUAAGACGAACCGUGCGAACGUUAUUCGGAAUCACUGGGCUUAAAGCGCGUGUAGGCGGGACGGCACGUCGGUCGUUGAAAGCCCCCGGCUCAACCGGGGAAGUGGCACCGAUACGACCGUCCUGGAGGGACGUAGGGGGACCUGGAACAUCCGGUGGAGCGGUGAAAUGCGUUGAGGUCGGAUGGAACGCCCGUGGCGAAAGCGAGGUCCUGGACGUUUUCUGACGCUGAGACGCGAAAGCCAGGGGAGCGAACGGGAUUAGAUACCCCCGUAGU
rnacentral:rRNA from 1 species